CUCCUUCUCCAUUGCCUUCAAAAAGUGGUUAUAAAUAUUUUGAUGAAAUUUUUUUCUCCAUCUUUAUUAACUUGGGUAUUUCUUAUUUACAUUUCAAUUGUUAUUCCCUUUCCCUGUUUCCGGGCCAACAUCCCCCUAACCCCUCCCCCUCCCCUUCUCUAUGGGUGUUCCCCUCCCGAUCCUCCCCCCAUUACCACCCUCCCCCAACAAUCACGUUCACUGGGGGUUCAGUCUUGGCAGGACCAAGGGCUUCCCCUUCCAUUGGUGCUCUUACUAGGAUUUUCAUUGCUACCUAUGAGGUUUUGAUGACAUUUUAAUGAAGUGUUUAUUCCAGUCCACUUAGUAUUAAGCAGGCUGAACAUCUCAUAUGUGGGCUUCCUUGGUACGGUUACUUCCCUGUGUGUUUUUUUUUUACACAUUAGCUUCAUGUGCCUCAAAAGACGAAGUAUUUGUGUAAGCUCAACACACAGAGGCAGGAGCACAAGAAACAGUUCCAUUCUCUAUUGUUCUAGAGAACUCAGACUGCGCAUAGGGACAUCACAUACUUCUCGUCCAUAGCAACAAAGUAUACACACAGAUACCAAAAGACUCGAUGAGCUAGGAAGCUUGGGAAAUAUAAAGUGAGACGUUUGAUACUUCCCUUAAUAAUCACCUAUGGGGACAAGAACUGCGCACUUGGCUGUGAAGACACCAGUCACGAAGGGACAAUCACUCCACCUAUGCAUCUGGCCUGCAUGAACUUGGUCAAGGCCUCUCUGCCUUGAAUGGCCACAUUGUUAGGUCUACACAGUUUAGCUGCUCAUAACAUGCUUUCGCUCACCACUUCUAGCAGUCCAAGAACACAAAGUACCCUUCACUAUUCGUACCAUCAUCCCAUCUGGGCUUUGUUGUGCUGGCUGGUGUGUCAGUUCAGACCGCAACCCUCUGUCUCAGUGAUCUCGCCAUAUUACAGAAGAACAAGUUUUCGUCACAGGGUUUCAGCUCUACUGUAGGACGCAUGAUGAUCCAGGACACCUGUUUCCACCAGAGUGCUGCCUCAGUCAAGCGCUCUGCAGGGCCGUAAUAGCAACUUCCUCCUUAUCAUUAAAAUCCCAUUCCGAUGCUCCCCAUUGAGCUCUCCAGAUUUGCCAAGACUAAUUUGUGUAAUGAUUGUGACAAUGUGGGCAAGAAAGGAAAACAAGCUACUUAAGGGGAGAGAAAGAAAAUGUUAGGGCAUUUUUAAAUGGUCUGUUAGCAUCUCGAUUUCUUUUAAAUCGAAGAGAAUUGUGGCACGUUAAGCCAGAAUAACUCCCGUGACUUUAUCAACAUUCUUUCUAUCAGUAUACUCAAUCAAUUAAACAUGUUAGUUAUGUAUGCCUAGACUAACUUAAACUUGCAAGAAAAUGUGCUAUAAAUAGAACGAUGGGUAGUUUAUUUAAAUCAGGCGUAAAAUUAGCAGCAUUAGCGUUAGUUCAAAAGGGACAGUGAGAAUUACCUUAUUCAGAGUUCCAUAACUCCAUAGGCCCGUUCCUGUAGUGUUUUCUAUUUUAUGGUUCUAUGGGUAGCUUCUGCUGGCCUUAAUAGUAAGUAAUUCUUAGCAUAUAAUUUUAUAUUUCCCUUAAACAUAAAGAUUUUAUUUACUGUAGAAAGGGCACAGUCCGCUUCUUACCCAUGGUUUUGCACACUCAUGGUCAAGGAUGCCCAAAUGCAGAAAUCCCUGUCUGAAGGACACUGUGCUCCAGCGUCUAAGAGAUUCGCCUCACUUCACCUCGGCACACGGGGACUGACUGGGUCAGCUCAGAUCUCCCUGAGGACAGUGUAGUGCACUAUUUUGAUAAAGGGGUGGGACCAUCGCCAUAACACCUAUUAUAAUACAUGGCUGUGCUUGUUCUGUCUCAUUCGUUGCAUUUGUUAACCCAUGAGUGUGCCGUUUGUGAGUCGGACUCAAAAAUGGGUGUUCACGUACAGACAACACGUUGUCGAUGGGGCUAGCCGGGCCUACAGUGUUAGGCAGCUGCUUGGGCUAUAUCUCCCAUCGGUAAGGUCACGCCAUCCCACCAGUCAUAGAGAAAAUAGACAAGAUCCUGGCUGUUUUGCUCUGGGCAACCUAGUUCAUUCUUCCUGGGAAGAAACCUGUCUACCAUUUUAUGUAGCACCACAGACUGUAGAGCAUACCUUUUCUUUUUAUUAGAAUGACCCUUCUUCCCACACCUCUCUUGCCCUUCUUCUGUCUGUCUCACCUGCAGACGUCACCCUUUCUCCUCCUUUCCUGUCCCUCACAGAUUUAAACCAGAAGUAAGGGAGAAUGAUUUGAGAAAUUUCCAGCUUUCAACUUCAGGUAUUAUGGGAGAUGAGUGUGGACAUUUCUUUAGUCUGGGUUUUCUGAUAAGGGUGGUCAUGACUGCACUGAUGCUAAUGGAGGGAACCCUGAGGGUCCUUUAGUGCUUCAGGUGGUACCUGAGGUGGGUGGGACCCCCCCAGGCCAUGCAAGUGCAAGGCACUCGCUUCCACUUCCAGGCUGCAGACUGGGACUCCUGACUCCACUCUGCUCCUCACUGACCAGUCCGUCCAGUGGGAGACACCUUCUCUGAGAGUCUUAAUUGCUCCGCUGUUAGAGGAAACUGACUUGGUAGGGCUUAGGCACUGACUGCAGGGCGUCUGCAGACAUGGACACAGCAGUUACUAGCGCUGACUGCCUAUGUGUGUGUGGUCACAUGAUUUGGGGAAAUGGAAGCCUGAUGUCUUUCACCUUGUGGUUUCACUUCCCGUCGCCUUUUCCUGAUGGUCUUGCUGUGCCUUCCACUCAGACGGCAGCAGCUUCAACUGGAUGCUAGGAUGGACCUGCUUCAGGUUUCCAGGGAGAACUUUUUGUUUUGUCUGUUAACAUACUGAAAUAACAAGAAAACACAACCAAGGGUUGUGGCCCAGUGCCACACGCCUAUAAUCUCAGCUCUAGCAGGGGCGGGGCAGGGGCAAUUGUCACAAGUUUGAGGCCAGCCUGAUUUAUGUAGCAAGCUCCCAGGACAGGCAAAAGAACAAAACUUAAUAAAUAAAAUAACCAAAAUGAUUAAAAUAGCUUUCAUGGUUCUCUCCCAGAUCAUUCACUAGUAGGUGUACUGACUACUUAAGGCCAAUGUGCGUACAGUUGUUUUACAAAUUUUUGCAUUUUUCCAGUUGGCUGUGAUUGAAGCAGAGAGUGUAGGAUUUAUUUACUUAUUUUUGAGUUACUAUUUCUCUCUCUCUCUCUCUCUCUCUCUCUCUCUCUCUCUCUCUCUCUGUUUCUCUUUAAGAAGACAUCUGUAUGUGCACAGAAAGGAAUUAAGAGAAAGUAUUUUAUGUAUUCUAACAUUUUCUUUUCACUCUGUCUUGGGGCCACAGCCAUUCUUGCAUGGCAUUGCCUUUUAGGCUUUUCCUCAAGUAUCCAGCAGGGGUUAUAUUCAUGUAAAAGUUCGAUGCAUUCUGAUACCCUCUUAUUUUUAAUGACCGGGUAGUAGGUUGAUACAGAAAGGAACUGUGGGACUUCCUGCUCAUAGCAAACUCAUCUCUCUUGCAGAGAGCAGCAGUACUGGGGCAUGAGGGCCAGUGCUAUCUGCAGAACACUUUCUGCAGGAUAGACUCCCUCAGCCCUGGCGGUCUUACUCUUUAGAAAGCAAGCAGGCCUCAUUUUUCUUCCACUAUCCAGAGAGAUACACACUUUCUCUACUCUGGGUCCUCACUGUGCUGAUGGGAUCACCAUCUGUCUGUCCUGUCCUGGUUCUUGUGCUGGGUUUUGUUCGCAUCCCCCUUUAAGUGUUCAUUGUCUGGAGCCUGGUUUACUGUGUUACCUGCCAUCCUAACCCUGCUCAUGUGUGUGAAGCACACUGAAAGAUCAACUCAGAUAAAAUAUGUUUACAUAGCAUGGCGCCUUCAGUUGUUACCCUUUAGGUAAAAGCCAGGGUUUGAUGAAGUUGUGCUUCAGGUAAUAAACCUUAAUUUUUAUGCUUCCUAGAAAUUUGACUCCUCCGCCCCUGAGGCUCACUGGCUCCCAGUGUGUGCACUGACGACGGAUCAGUGAUGUUAUUCAGUGAGCCAGAGGCUGGACAUAGCAUUAAUUGCAAAUUAUAGCCUGGACAUAAAACCAAUGAACUUGGGCGAGCAUUUAAUUUCUGGGCCCUGUCACUUUGAUUCAUACGGCAUCUCGCUUUUUUAACUGCUGCCGCGAACCCCGCGUGCGUCUCUUGGCAGUAUAUUUUUUUUUUUCCAUGGCAUCUGCAGACAGUCACGAGAGUCGAACAGUAUAGGACCCAGCAGGGUAUGUGUUGUUGUGCCAUUAAUUGCGUACCUCUGUGCCUCCUGAGGAAGGAGGCCAGAGGCAGAUUGCCUUUUACCCCCUGAGAAGUAUGAUAAUAGCUUGACAGUGUGCUUCCUUCAGUAUUUCUCAGUGAUUAUGAAAUGCAAGUGAAGAGACUUGUUGGAAAGGGGGGAAUAAGAAAGAGAGAGAGAGAGAGAGAGAGAGAGAGAGAGAGAGAGAGAGAGAGAGAGAGAGAAGUAUCUUUAAAUCACAUCUCAGAUUAACAGCAUCGAGCAAGGUUAGUGCGCUGGCGGUGGACGGGCGGCCACUUCUGCUUUCUCAGGCACCAGGACUCAGUUCUACUGAGCUUUUAGGAUCAAGGGUGAGUCUGAGUGUGGCUUUGGGCGCUGAGGUCGUCACUGAGAACGCAGAAAAUUUGAGAGCAUUAACCUGUUCAGCCACUAAUGUAGUCCCCCCCUGCUCUCCAUCAUGUUCUUUCCUGCCAUUUGUGUGAAAUCACUUAUUUUAAACUGGAGGGUCGCUGUCCUGAAACAACACAAAGGAGCCUGGAGCAGAGCCGAAGUCUCUGCUCUGUCCUGUUUGUCCUGGGACUCUGAACCCAUCGCUUGGUCUCGGGGAACAUUUCUUUCUUCGCUUGUGAAAUAACGUAUACUCUCUCAUUCCUGCGGUUUCUGUCUACUGAACGUGACUGUGUCGCUUUGUUCCUUGUACAUUGCACUACAGAUGUCACCAGCUCGUACCAUUCCCUCUCCCUGUGAUGGAUUAAAGACAAACAAAAUGUAACAAAACGAAAAAACAGGAAGCCUAGGGGUCUGAAACAGUAGUGAAUAUCUCUAAUCCCUGGCUCCCAAAGAUGAGAGAGAGGCAUGUCCUGAGUUCAAGAUCACUCUGCCUCUAUCUAGAGUCUCAGACCACCAAGGCUAUGACAGAUCCAGCCUCAAAAGAAACCCAAAAUGUAGUUUUAAGUAAAAUUUACAUGGUCUCCAAAUUCAAGUGUUCUAGCAAUCGAGCGAUCUGUAUUGGUUCUUGUUGCACAAGGCUCUGGGUGAACACGAUGACUUUCUGACAUGACAGCCUGGUUACUGUUCCUAAUGUCUUAAUUGCAAGAGAAGGAUGCCAAUUCUCUGGGGCUGGUUCUCCAUGAAGUGUGUAUUUAGGGAAAGUGAACGUCCACUAGCUGAAUGAGGUGCAGGCAUGUUGGGGAGCCAUUAGAGGGAGGCUUGUGAUGGCAUCUCAUUAAAUAAACAGCCAGUGAACUUUUCUUUCCACCUUGGGUGUUAACGUGGAGUUUGAAAACAGGCAAUGGAAAAAAGCUAAAUGCUUAAGGGAUUUUUGGGGAGACUCAACAGUGCCAUUAAUUUCCAUGUAUGCUUUAAAUUGCUAGAGUAAAAUAAUGUAUUCAGCAAAGAAGCAAGUUCCCUCUUCCUCCCAUGAGUCUCCUUGAUUGUGCAAUUGGUAUCUCAUUCUUUAAUUAAACUUGUCCAAAGAUAGGAUCAGCUAAAGUGUUUACUGUAUAAAUAGUUUUCAUUCCCAGUGUGCAAGCUUAAAACGGUGGUAUAAAGAGUUUGCCAUCUGUUAAGAAACCAAAACAUGUGGUGUGCUGUUGCAUAAAAAUAAACCACACAUUAUUCAUACAAAGGAUCACAGCAUAAUAUAUCUUGGGGGAUGACAAUAAUUUGUGAUAUUGUGGAAUGUCACCACCUUCUAAGUGGUGGUGUGUUCAGACAUGCAUUAUGAAAAGCAACAUGAACGUGUAUAAGCAUAGGAAAUCGAGUUUUAUUUUCAAUACGUUUUCCCUCUCUUAACAUCUGGUCAUUCAUUUAUGACAGAAAUUUAAAUAAUUCCUCUCCCUUUGCUGCGUCCUCGUGGCCCUGCGGUCAUCAUAUCGCAAAGGAUCUGUCUAUUGCUACGUUAUUUCUGCUUAUGUGUGUACCAGAAAGGCUUCAAGCUGGUCUGUUAUCCUCACCAUUAAAGCCACAGUAACACCACACUGUCUGCAGAGCAAAGUCUUCCUUCUCCAGAACAUUGUCAGAGAAACAGGUCAUCUGACUUCAGGCCACCUUGAGGCCUUGGCCCUCACCCUGGAAACCCCUCCAUGGUCUCUCUGAAUCCUUGAAGUUACUUCCUUUCUGUUUCAACGUCCCCAGUUUCCUUCAUGUUGGAAUCAACUUUCCUCCUUCCUGCUCCCCAAGUUAGAUCUGCGUUUUAAAGGCUCCAAACACUGGAUUUGUCUAAAUUUCCUUUCUCACUGGCCCAAGUAGAGUGCCUGUCUGUGGGUACACUAAUUCCUAUUUUGGCUGGUCACUUCCAGCUUGGUGUAUGCAUUGUGGACCUCCCCAUUAUCUGAGGCAUUUGGGUGUGUAUUUAUAUUUGGUGUAGUUUUGAAUCUGUUGCCCUAACUAGCAUGAGGAGAGGCCUCAGUAAGUGUGUGCUAGAGUGCCUGGGAGCUGCUCUUAGCAUGGCUGACAUACUGCCGGAUCCUGUGUUGGGGUUUCCCACCGCACAAUGGAUGCAGCUGUUUAAACUGAUUGGGAGAUUCAGUCCUGUCUGACAGGGCUAUGUGAGGAGUUUUGACAUUUCAGACAGGAUCAAUAUCACAGUCUUUGGACUUUUUAAGAUUUCUGCAAAACAACAAACAAAUUAUAAACACUAUCCAGGACAAGUGUGCAACCGUGGUAUUCACAAUUAUUCUUUCUUUACCUUAAAGAUUUAUUUUUAAUUCUGGAGUGUGUGUGUGAGUGUGUGUGUGUGUGUGUGUGUGUGUGUGUGUGUGUGUGUGUG